rnacentral:tRNA from 1 species
GGGUUUGCGGCGUUUUCAGCACUUGACUUUUAAUCAAGUUGUCCGGGGUUCGAAUCCCCGAUGCUUCA